UCUUUAUAAGCUAUAAUAAUUGCUUCAUUAUAGCUUAUAAAGAUCAACCGUAAGAAUGAUGGAUAAUUCCCGAAUUCACAACUUUUUCUCAAAUGCGAUUCUUCUUGACAUUGAUGCUCAACUGCAAACUUGAGCACAGCGAAAUCUCUGAAAGAAGUAAAAAAAGAAUUGCUCCAAAUAACACAGAAGAUCCCAUAGCAAAAAUCAAGCGAGCCAAAUUGUAUCUGGGACUCCUCCAGUAGGAGAGGUUUUGCUUCCAGAGGCAUGCCUUGAAUUGCUCCAGUCCAUUUUGUGGAUAGCGCAUAGAAAAGUUUAGUUCAAUUGAACCAGGUUCUGCUGCUGCUCUGGCAUCUAGACCGGAAGUUGGUUCAUCCAUAAAUAUUAUGGAUGGAUUCGAAACAAGUUCAACUGCUAUUGUUAGGCGUUUGCGCUGCUCAGUUGAUAUUCCACUGACACCAGGAAUGCCAACUAAAGCAUCUUUGAUUCCGUCAAGCCCAAUCAGCCGAAGAACUUCUGUAACAAAUUCCUGUUUGUAAUUGUAACAUUCAAUGUUAGUUUUCUUCUGCAAUAUAAGGUAAGCUUAUUCUACGCAUGCAAGUUCUGAAUGCUCAAGAGAGAGUGGCUUCUGUAUCAUUGGUAAAAGGUUAAUGAUCAAUUUUUUUUUCCUGUUAAUUACAACCUCCCUGUAUUUUUCAAAAUUUUCUGUUAUUUCCAAGUUUCCAUUAGUUAUCCAACUUGAUCUUUAAGCCUGUUAAAAUUCAUUUUCUUAGAUAAUACUAGACAUAAAUACUAGAGAGUAGCUACAUGCAGCAUAUUCAGUUCAUAAGACUUCUUACAGCUCUUGUGUGGUUGUCAAUCUGAGCUGGCAAGCGUAGCCAAGCUGAGUACGCAACUGAUUCUUCUAUUGUAAUUUGUGGAGAAUGUAUGUCACUUUGCUCACAGUAACCAGAUACUCUGGCAUAUGUGGAUUGAACUUUGGGAUACCCUCCAAUUCUUAUCUCGCCAGUAAUCAUACCACUGGUUUUUCUUCCAGAAAGAACAUCCAUCAGGGUUGUCUUCCCAGCUCCACUAACCCCCAUCAGCGCUGUGAGAAUCCCAGAUUUUGGCAAAUGAGCAGGAGCUAAUUCUUUCCCUUCGAUUAUGCUGCUUGUGUUUUCUGAACCUUUUCGAUUAGAGAGUUGUUCAUGAGAAAUAGUCUUAUGAGAACUCCCUGGAGCUGCAACGAUUCAUAUUUCAAGAAGUACAGUUGAUAAAGAAUAUAAUCUGUUCAGGUUCACCUUUUGCCACCUUGGAGCAAGGAAUUCAUUCACUGACGAUCCUAUUUCAGCAUAUGACAGCGGUGAAAGCCAAAAGCACCAUGCCAGCCAAACAGGCAAAGAGGCUGCAG